rnacentral:rRNA from 1 species
GUCCACGCUGUAAACUAUGUGUGCUAGACGUUGGCGAGCUUGCUCGUCAGUGUCGCAGCUAACGCGUUAAGCACACCGCCUGGGGAGUACGGUCGCAAGAUUAAAACUCAAAGGAAUUGACGGGGGCCCGCACAAGCGGUGGAGCAUGUGGUUUAAUUCGACGCAACGCGAAGAACCUUACCAGCCCUUGACAUGGGAAGUAUGGAUUCCGGAGACGGAAUCCUUCAGUUCGGCUGGCUUCCACACAGGUGUGCAUGGCUGUCGU